GAUGAAGAACGUAGCGAAAUGCGAUACGUAGUGUGAAUUGCAGAAUCCAGUGAAUCAUCGAAUCUUUGAACGCACAUUGCGCCCGCGAGUAUUCUCGCGGGCAUGCCUGUCCGAGCGUCAUUUCAACCCUCAGGGCCCGCCUGCUUCGGCAGGCGCGGCGCUGGUGUUGGGGAUCGGCCUAACCGCCGUCCCCCAAAUACAGUGGCGGUCUCGCUGCAGCCUCCCCUGCGUAGUAGCAACACUCGCAUGCGGAGCGCGGCGCGGCCACGCCGUAAAACCCCCGACUUUCUGAACGUUGACCUCGGAUCAGGUAGGAAUACCCGCUGAACUUAAGCAUAUCAAUAAGCGGAGGA
rnacentral:misc_RNA from 1 species